CAGAUCUUUUAGUGGAAGGAUUGUUCAAUGCCGCAUGGCAGAUUUUAAACUAGAUCAACUAAAAGUAAUUUCUCCCCACUCUAGGGAGCUACUGCCCAUGGAAAAGGACCUCCCAGCCUUUGACCUGUCUUGCCAAACACAGUGCAAGAGCUGCAAUGGGACCUCUCUAUGUGGAGGCACUGUGGUACCUCGCUGGAGUAGGACAGGGGCAGAGCUAACUCAGCGGUCAAGACAGCCUGUCCCCCCCUGCCCUCCUGGGACACACAGGGACAGUGAGGAGGGAGCAGCCUGCAUCUUUUGUCCUUUAGGUCAUAACUGUGUUGGAGGUGUUGCUUUGCCGUGCCCAGCAGGAACCUACGGACCCAAAGAGGCUUACAGACCAUCCUUAGGUCAUCUGCACAGUGGGGAUUCAGUAAAGGUUUAACUGUUUGGAAGACAGCUCACGGAGACCGGGCUCCCAAUACAUGUGCCCAUAAGGGUAUUACUGUGAGGAGGGCACAGAAACGCCCCACGGGUCACCUUGCCCCGCUGCCACUGCAGGAGAACAACUGGGCCAGACAAGUAGGACAGCCUGAGAUGUUCAGAGGGACGAUUGCGUCCUGCAGGUUCUGUGGGAGGUUCUGCGCAGCUGGCACACUGGAGGAAGUGAUAUGCCCGGGGGUACCUUCACUCCUCACCAAGGGGAUUUACAUGUGAAGGACUGUUUAAGAUGCCCAGCUGUUUCUACUGCCGAGAGGGUACCGUGACCCCAUGCCCUGUUAGCCAGGCGCAUUCAACCCCCUGGAAGGGCAGGAUGAGGCUACUGACUGCAGGGAGAGCUACCCG
rnacentral:lncRNA from 1 species